CCUACGGGUGGCAGCAGUGAGGAAUAUUGGUCAAUGGCCGGGAGGCUGAACCAGCCAAGUCGCGUGAGGGAUGACGGCCCUACGGGUUGUAAACCUCUUUUGUCAGGGAGCAAGGUGCAGCUCGGGACCUGCUGUGAGAGUACCUGACGAACAAGCAUCGGCUAACUCCGUGCCAGCAGCCGCGGUAAUACGGAGGAUGCGAGCGUUAUCCGGAUUUAUUGGGUUUAAGGGGUGCGCAGGCGGGGGCCUAGGUCAGCGGUAAAAUCCCGGGGCUCAACCCCGCUCCGCCGUUGAAACUGUGUGCCUUGAGUGCGCGAAGGGUAGGCGGAAUGCGUGGUGUAGCGGUGAAAUGCAUAGAUAUCACGCAGAACUCCGAUCGCGAAGGCAGCCUACCGGAGCGCAACUGACGCUCAUGCACGAAAGCGUGGGUAUCGAACAGGAUUAGAUACCCGUGUAGUC
rnacentral:rRNA from 1 species